UGGGGAAUAUUGGGCAAUGGGCGAAAGCCUGACCCAGCAACGCCGCGUGAAGUAUGAAGGCCUUCGGGUUGUAAACUUCUUUGAUCAGGGAAGAAACAAAUGACGGUACCUGAAAAACAAGCCACGGCUAACUACGUGCCAGCAGCCGCGGUAAUACGUAGGUGGCGAGCGUUAUCCGGAUUUACUGGGCUUAAAGGGCGUGUAGGCGGCUAGAUAAGUGUGAUGUUUAAAUCCAAGGCUUAACCUUGGGGUUCAUUACAAACUGUUUAGCUUGAGUGCUGGAGAGGAUAGUGGAAUUCCUAGUGUAGCGGUAAAAUGCGUAGAUAUUAGGAGGAACACCGGUGGCGAAGGCGGCUAUCUGGGCAGUAACUGACGCUGAGGCGCGAAAGCGUGGGGAGCAAACAGG
rnacentral:rRNA from 1 species